AAUCAACGCUGGCGGCGCGCUUAACACAUGCAAGUCGAGCGAGAAAGGGAGCAAUCCUGAGUAAAGCGGCGUACGGGUGAGUAACACGUGGAUCAUAUACCUUUUAGUGGGGAAUACCCUUGGGAAACCGAGGACAAUACCGCAUAAUCCCGGGAGGGGAAAGCAGCAAUGCGCUGAAAGAGUAGUCCGCGGCUGAUUAGCUAGUUGGUAGGGUAAAGGCCUACCAAGGCUGUGAUCGGUAGCCGGCCUGAGAGGGCACACGGCCACACUGGCACUGAAACACGGGCCAGACUCCUACGGGAGGCAGCAGUGGGGAAUCUUGCACAAUGGACGAAAGUCUGAUGCAGCGACGCCGCGUGAGCGAUGAAGCCCUUCGGGGUGUAAAGCUCUUUCGACAGGAACGAUAAUGACGGUACCAGGAGAAGAAGCUGCGGCUAACUACGUGCCAGCAGCCGCGGUAAUACGUAGGCAGCAAGCGUUGUUCGGAAUUAAUGGGCGUAAAGCGUGCGUAGGCGGUGGCUCAAGUUUGGUGUGAAAUCUCCCGGCUCAACUGGGAGGGUGCGCCGAAAACUGAGUUGCUCGAGUGUGGGAGAGGUAGGCGGAAUUCCUGGUGUAGCGGUGAAAUGCGUAGAUAUCAGGAGGAACACCGGCGGUGUAGACGGCUUACUGGACCAUAACUGACGCUGAGGCACGAAAGUGUGGGGAGCAAACAGGAUUAGAUACCCUGGUAGUCCACACCCUAAACGAUGCAUACUUGGUGUGAGCCAUUCAUUUGGUUCGUGCCGGAGCUAACGCGUUAAGUAUGAC
rnacentral:rRNA from 1 species